GAUGAACGCUGGCGGCGUGCCUAAUACAUGCAAGUCGAGCGAACAGACGAGGAGCUUGCUCCUCUGACGUUAGCGGCGGACGGGUGAGUAACACGUGGAUAACCUACCUAUAAGACUGGGAUAACUUCGGGAAACCGGAGCUAAUACCGGAUAAUAUAUUGAACCGCAUGGUUCAAUAGUGAAAGACGGUUUUGCUGUCACUUAUAGAUGGAUCCGCGCCGCAUUAGCUAGUUGGGAAGGUAACGGCUUACCAAGGCAACGAUGCGUAGCCGACCUGAGAGGCUGAUCGGCCACAUUGGAACUGGGACACGGUCCAGACGCCUACGGGAGGCAGCAGUAGGGAAUCUUCCGCAAAGGGCGAAAGCCUGACGGAGCAACGCCGCGUGAGUGAUGAAGGUCUUCGGAUCGUAAAACUCUGUUAUUAGGGAAGAACAAAUGUGUAAGUAACUAUGCACGUCUUGACGGUACCUAAUCAGAAAGCCACGGCUAACUACGUG
rnacentral:rRNA from 1 species